GAGGUUGUAGCUUAGUGAUAGAGCACUUGACUACCAUGUAUGAGGCACUGAGUUCGAUCCUCAGCACCACA
rnacentral:tRNA from 1 species